rnacentral:rRNA from 1 species
AUUGAACGCUGGCGGCAGGCCUAACACAUGCAAGUCGAACGAAGUCUUCGGACUUAGUGGCGGACGGGUGAGUAACACGUGGGAACGUACCUUUUGGUUCGGAACAACUCAGGGAAACUUGAGCUAAUACCGGAUGAGCCCUUAGGGGGAAAGAUUUAUCGCCAUUAGAGCGGCCCGCGUUGGAUUAGGUAGUUGGUGGGGUAAAGGCCCACCAAGCCUACGAUCCAUAGCUGGUCUGAGAGGAUGAUCAGCCACACUGGGACUGAGACACGGCCCAGACUCCUACGGGAGGCAGCAGUGGGGAAUCUUGCGCAAUGGUCGAAAGACUGACGCAGCCAUGCCGCGUGAAUGAUGAAGGUCUUAGGAUUGUAAAAUUCUUUUACCAGGGACGAUAAUGACGGUACCUGGAGAAAAAGCCCCGGCUAACUUCGUGCCAGCCGCCGCAGUAACAC